CGGCAAUGCAUAAUUUCUUCAAGGAGAAGUUCAAGUUCCUUGUUACUGAUACGGUUGAUGGACCUGAUGCUUCAUCUAAAUGUAUUCGGGUGAGAUUGAAUCCUGGAGGACAUAACAAUGGAGGUAGAAAUUCCAAGAAACGGAAGGACAGAAGUGGUAAGCCCUUUGAUAGCCGAGGUUCAUAUCAUUGGCCAGAGCACCUUGGCAAGUUUCUCAGGUUUCACCUCUACAAGGAGAAUAAAGAUACACAGGAAGCCAUAGGAUUAAUAGGAAAGAUGCUUGGCAUUCAGCCAAGAUCUUUUGGGUUUGCGGGC
rnacentral:misc_RNA from 1 species